rnacentral:rRNA from 1 species
GAGUUUGAUCUUGGCUCAGAUUGAACGCUGGCGGCAUGCCUUACACAUGCAAGUCGAACGGCAGCAUGAUCUAGCUUGCUAGAUUGAUGGCGAGUGGCGAACGGGUGAGUAAUACAUCGGAACGUGCCCUGUAGUGGGGAUAACUAGUCGAAAGAUUAGCUAAUACCGCAUACGACCUGAGGGUGAAAGUGGGGGACCGCAAGGCCUCAUGCUAUAGGAGCGGCCGAUGUCUGAUUAGCUAGUUGGUGGGGUAAAGGCCCACCAAGGCGACGAUCAGUAGCUGGUCUGAGAGGACGAUCAGCCACACUGGGACUGAGACACGGCCCAGACUCCUACGGGAGGCAGCAGUGGGGAAUUUUGGACAAUGGGCGAAAGCCUGAUCCAGCAAUGCCGCGUGUGUGAAGAAGGCCUCGGUUGU